rnacentral:rRNA from 1 species
AUUGAACGCUGGCGGAAUGCUUUACACAUGCAAGUCGAACGGCAGCACGGACUUCGGUCUGGUGGCGAGUGGCGAACGGGUGAGUAAUGUAUCGGAACGUGCCCAGCCGUGGGGGAUAACGUAGUGAAAAUUACGCUAAUACCGCAUACGAUCUAUGGAUGAAAGCGGGGGAUCGAAAGACCUCGGUCGAUUUGAGCGGCCGAUAUCAGAUUAGUGAGGUGGUGGGGUAAAGGCCCACCAAGCCAACGAUCUGUAGCUGGUCUGAGAGGACGACCAGCCACACUGGAACUGAGACACGGUCCAGACUCCUACGGGAGGCAGCAGUGGGGAAUUUUGGACAAUGGGCGAAAGCCUGAUCCAGCCAUUCCGCGUGCAGGAUGAAGGCCCUCGGGUUGUAAACUGCUUUUGUACAGAGCGAAAAGGUUUCUACUAAUACUAGGAGCUCAUGACGGUACUGUAAGAAUAAGCACCGGCUAACUACGUGCCAGCCGCCGCCGUAA